GAAUCAUUACGUAUCAUACAGUCUACCACAUCAGACCCGAUAAAUGACAAGACCUUGACAAUAUGUUCAAGACACGUUGAGCCGGAUUAUUUCGUUGAAAAAAUGUUUACAAAAAUUCUGGGUCCACAUAUCGAAGAUUAAAAGAAGGGUUAGGGAGACUAUCAACCUUAAUUCUUCUACAGAAAAGCGUAACAACAAAGAAAUUGAAUCCAAGGAAGUCACCGAGUCCAAGGAAAACCGAGGAAACUCAAUGUUUACAUAUGAACGAAGUAACCUUUCAGAUGUUGCAGAAAUCAUUUUUAUGUCAAAUGUCUGCUUUGUGGCUAUGUCAGUCUUCAAGUGAUUAUAUCUAUCUGUUUAAAACUGAAGAUAAAAGUGUAACAUACCAUUUAACCAUUGACAAGGACUUGAAUUGUGAAGUACAAUAUAAUAAUUUUUGUUUCCUGUUCAAAUUAAAGUUACAUCUAUAGAUUUACUUAUAAGAACUGUUGAGAAUAUGAAGAUAUGUGGGGGCAUAACAUCAAAACAUUUACAGUCUUAUUCUCAAUGUCAGCCUACAACUGUAAGAUAUAUCAGACAGAUUGAUCUUUUCAUGAACACAAAUAAGUCAACAUAUAAAUUACGAAAGCUGUGUACUUGCUUCUGUAUGUAAUAGUUUUGUUGAGGACACUCAAAAAGAAAUUUGUUUAAGUUGUCGACAGAUUAACAGAGAUUUACAGAGAAAGUAAAUAGCAAUAAUAAUAGUUUAUUUCACAUAUAUGGCUACAUAGCACAUUGCAUAUUCAGAUUUUGAUUGACAAUAUAUAAUUCAAAGAAUCAAUAUUUACAUACUUGUAAAUGUAAUUUACAAUUCAAAAAUAGCUUAGCAAUAAUAUAUAGUUGCCAUAUAAACGAGCAAAAAGUGAUAGAAUAUAAUCAUGUGGUACGAAUUUGAUUAAAAUGUAGAUUUCACUCCAUUUUGAUUUAUUUCUUCCAACUGACUCGACUCCACAUAGAUUUGAGGUCAAAUGAGAAGUUAUAGAGUUAAACUGUGAUCAGUGAUGUCAGGUAUUUUAUUUACAGCACUUUGCUGCAAGCAUUUCACACAAUGAAAGUAACAAAAACACAGAUUAUACAGAUAAUUUCAUACAACAAAAUAGAAAGUGUAUAAUUAAACUAAACAUUUCCUGGCUCUAUUGGAAUUAAUAUCAAUAUUGGAAGUAUAAAAAUAUAAAUGUGAUUGAAUCUAGGAUUAAAUCUACAACUUAAUCAGCAGUGUUCUACAGAUUUUUUAUUUCUUGUUAUUACUGUAUUGUAGUUAAUAAGUAAUGAAAAGAAAACAAGGCCCCAAGUUCACAAAGCAUUCUCAGUCUUAAGUUAAGGUUUUACUCAAAAUUGUUGUCUUAUUUUAACUCAAAUAUAGCACUUUACUAACUAUUGUUGUUUUAAUGUAAAUAUAUCAAUAAGAAACUAUGUGCACAGUUUUGUGUUUCUGGAUCAAAGAUAUUUCUGAGAAACAGUGAUUGAAAGUUGAGCAAAUUCUUAAGUCUGGGAAUGCUUUGUGAACUUGGGGCCAGGUUGAUAAUAGUAAACAAAAUAUAUCGAGACGCAAUGAAAUAGCACCUCUGAGAUGACGUGGCAUAACUUUGCACCUUCCACAGUUGCACAAAACCUAGCUUUUUAAAAGCUGCAUUAUAUACCCCACGUGUGUACCAGAAAAAUCAACAUACUGAUUCUGUUGGGUUUAAUUUUUUGGAUUAAGAAUUGUUCGGGGUGCGUUUACGCAAUCUUCAAAACAUUCUCACAUGUUAUCAUCGUAAUAUGAUGUUGUUACAUCCUUAAUUGCAAGAUUAAAGCAAAUCUUUAAAACAAAAUUGAGCUGAAAAGUACUAAGUAGGGCGUUAAACCUGGAUUCAUUUCAAACAAGAUUUACAUUCAUCCAUUUAUAAAAGUGAUGUAUUAUUUUUAUUGCAUCUCAGUAUAAAAUAUUAACAAUGAUAACAAAAUUUAUACAAAUUUUAUACAGGUGCACAACUUGUAAUGUGUGAGCUUUAUAAAUGUAUUAAAUUAUUCUUAAAUAUACAUUAUGUAAGAUUUUGAUAAAGAGCUAGCCAUUCUUGCUAUAAUAGUUCGAAGAUAAAAAAUGUAAAAUGACUAAUUUGAAAAUUUCAUUCAAAUUACUCUAUUGCGAGCGAAGAUAUUAGCCUUUGAAGGCCUUUGAAGGUUUGACAAGACAUGUGCAAUAAUUUCAACCAUCGUACUGGUUGUUCGAAAUAGUCUCACUCCUCCAUUUUUAGCUUAAAUCAAAAUAUGGCUGAACUGUUCUAAUCUAUUUAAUAUUGGAGAAAUCUGAUGCCAUCGAGAGUUGAUUAGGGCCUGGAUAAGUUAAUUAGUGUCUAAUUAAUAAUUUAGAAAACAUUUCAGGCCUAAAGAAAACCUGCAAUAGGCAGAUUUAGCUCUUGCAUAAUGUAUGUUUAAUCAUUAUUAUCAUAAGCUUAUGGAUUUUUUUGUGCAUUUCUAUUUGCCUUUAGUGUUUAUCAAUGGUCAUUAUCUGUUAAAUUCACAAGUUUUAUUUAACAAGCAUCACUGUCAUGUGAAUAAAAUAUCUUUGAACAGA